rnacentral:lncRNA from 1 species
AAGAGAGCAGUAAAAAAAUUAUAUUUGGGACCACAAGGCAAGGUAAAAUUUUACGCGGAAGAUCCUUCUUUCAAGGUAAUGGAAACACCACUGAAUUGGAUCCUACAAAAUCUGGGAUUUACCAAUAUUUACCAACGGAUCCAUUCUAACGAAAAGGACCAACUCAUCAUUGAGUAGAAUUUUCACACGUAUUGAAUUCAACGAAUAAACCUCACCUAAAAACCACUAUAAAAGGAACCUGAUUUCCAACAAAAGAAAAUGGAUAGAGAAAUAUUGUAGAAAUCCAUACACAAUCAUUCACCUAAAGCUCUAAAUUCUCCUAAGGCUUCUUAUAGUUUUGUAGUGAAACUCUAAGAUCAGUCUAGCUCGGUAUAACACAAGGGAUUCGUUGCACACAAACAACGCAAGGCGGAGAAAAGAAGAAAAGAAAGAAGAAAUCAUUAAAGGGCAUAAAAAAGCAGAGGAGGUACUUAUAUACUUCCGCCGGAAAAGCCAUCGAACUAGUUCCGAUUUGGGUAAGUUUGUCUUCUUUCUUCAUUCUCCUGACUUUGUUUCCCUCUCCUUGAUGGUCCGACUGCUUCCCUUUUGAUAAUUUCUUGAAACCUCCGGUGUUUGAGGUUGGAUCUCACUUUUAGGGUUUCGGUUUAAGACCCCCGAUCCGAGACUUUGAAGAUGGUAAUGGAUAUUUUGAGUUCAUAUUCGAACUUAGAGGGUUGUUUUGGAAUAGGAUAGUGGUUUGUUUCGGUGGUUCCCCAGAGUAGGGCGUCGCCGCCGCUGUGGACAGCCGCCUGCCACCUUCGUCUUCGGUAGGCAGUUAAGAGAGAGAAGGAGUUAAGUUGCAGAGCUUUUUGGUUCAUUUGAGUGAGAGGAGGGUUUGUUCUUUUCAUUUGCGUUUGUGGACUUUUCUUUUAGGUGUUUAAAGGGGUUGCCUUGGGUCAACACGGUGGUGACAAGUGUCUCCACCAUUGGAAACUUGUCACCAUUCAUUAGAUGGCGAUUUCUUCGAUCCAGUGUGCGUCCCCUCGUGGUAUCCUGUGCACCUGCAGUCAUGGUAUCCUUUCCGAUCAUGAGACCAAACAGAUCAUUGGAUCUGACGGUCUGAGGUAUAUUGUGGGUCAACCAAGGUUGACCGGGUUCUAGUUGGGAUUUCCCAAAGGAGUGGGCCUCCCUUCGGGCCUAGAGGACUUUUCCUCACUUCACCCCUUAAUGUAUUUUAGCAGCGCCCAUAGUGGGCAGUCUUUCUUGUCCAAGGCCCAUUUAUUUAAUUUUUUUUUUCUUUAUUUUCCUUCAUUUGUCUUCUUGCAAAAAAAAUAUAUUGUUACUGUUAAUACAUAAUAGUAAUCAAAUAAUCCAUUAACUAUUAAAUUAAUUAAUUUUAUUAUUAUUACCAUUAUUUAUUAUUUAAACAUAAUUUAGAUAGUUAUUCAUUUUUGUGGGAUUUGUGUGCGCUAUUAUUUUGUGUUUAUUUAUUCAUUUGUAUAAAUUCUUGAAUUCAUACGUAUGGUGUGUUACAAUCAUGACAAGCUAUUUCUAUUUCACCGAUUUAAAACCAUUCAAAUCAAUUCCCAGAAUAAACCACAUGCUUUUGAUUCAAUGUCGAGCCCAUUCCCCAAAGGUCUUUCUAAGUCGAUUGCUUUUAGCAUCGCCAUCAACCUCACAUAGCUUACUCUUGGGCUUUCUUACAAUGAGACUUAUUCGAUUUUAAUUAAUCGAGUAGAUGAUCUAUUCACUAAGUGAUAAUACAAUUUAUUCACAAGUACAAAUUUAAAACCUCGAUCCAAUGUUGAGUAUUUUUAUUCAAAUCAAAUUAAAAUACCUAAUCACAAUCAAAUACUAUUUCAUUUAGAAAUCAAAAGGGGGAUGGUUUUGAGUUUUCAACUCCUCUCCCCGAUUAUUUGAAUACGAGUUCUCUUACUCGGUUAGUCAAAUAGUCGUCAUUUCUAACUCGCCCAAACUUAACCUAAUCAAAUUAUUUUCAUAAUAAUGCAAUGAAAAGGGGGAUGGUUUUGAGCCUUCAACUCCUCUCCUCGAUUGUUUGAAUUCGAGUUUUCUUACUCGGUUAGUCAGACAAUUGUCAUUUCUCAACAAACUCCUAAAUCCGAUUAAAAUUUAAACAUUCUUAUAAUAAGUUAAAUGAGAAUGGAGAUGACUUUGAGCCUUCAACUUCUCUCCUCAAUUGUUUCAAUACGAGUUCUCUUACUCGGUUAGUCGAACAAUUGUUGUUUUUCCAUAAAUUAAUAAAUUAAUUAAAUCAUUUUCGUAAAAAAUUAUACGAAAAGGGAGAUGGUCUCGAGUCUUCGAUUCCUCUCCUCAAAUGCUUGGAUAUGAGUUAUCUUACUCAUCCAUUCGAGUACUUGUCGUUUAUUCUAAAAUACAUCUACCAUACGCAAACCUAUUUUCAUAAUCACUCAUAUGAAAAAGAAACUGGUCUAGAGUCUUCUAUUCUCUUUCCCGACUAUUAGGAUACGAGUUGUCUUACUCGACUAUCCGAGUAAUCGUCAUCCAACAAAAAUAUCUUAACACAUCAAGUCUAUCUUUUCUCUCCCCCGUGCGAUCGAAACCAAUCAAACAAAACAUCAAACAUAUUAACUCAACUUGUCACCCCCGUGUGACCAAAAUAUUUUCAGAAAGAACAUUGUUUAAUCCUUUCUAAUGCGCACAACAAACUAGUGUUUAAGCCUCCGUCGAGAGUAGACAAGUCAACGUUUAGCCUUUAGAACGCGAUCUAAACAACUGUCCUCUAAAAGACACCAACCAACCAUAGUUCCCCGAACUACGAAUUCUCUAAUUUUCCUUUUAUUGCACCAUAAGGAUACGUAGGCACGGGAUUGCGAGAUCUUCGUGAGCACACUAAUAAAAAACCUCCCUUUUCCCCCUUUCUGAGGUUUCCACCCAUCUUUAUUUAUCCUUAAUUAACUCUAAGAAAAUAAAUAACAUAAGUUAACAUUCAAAUCGCAAAUUAAACUAAGAGGUUCCCGUUGAGUACAACGGACGUGAGGGGUGCUAAUACCUUCCCCUUGUGUAAUCGACUUCCGAACCCAAAUAUGGUUGCGACGACCAUCAUUCUAUUUUCCAAAGGUUUUAUCGAUAUUUUCUUAUUCCUUCAUUGGGAUAAAUAAAAUUCGGUGUUGAAUCUGUCUGAACUAAAUUUUUUCGCGACCAUCACGAGGAAUCGUAUUUUUCAAGAUGCGACACAUGGCGACUCUGCUGGGGACUAGCUCCAAGCAAGAGAGAGUGAAGCCUAACUUAGUUCAACUUAUGUAUUGAGUGUUAACCUUGUUUGUUUGUUAUCUUUAUUCUGUUAUUAUUUGGUUAUAAUUAUUGUGUUAUGGUUUAUUGACUAUGUCUUAUUUGGGGCUCUCUACCCGAGUCUGAGAAAAACCGUAAGAUUAAGUUGGUGGUUGUAUAGUGGACGCCCAUAAGGAGUCUUCCUUGUUAGGAUGAUACAGAGACCUCGCCUAGAGUAGAUUCUCUUGAGAUAUUAUUCCCCGACGAGUCUUCGUCACGAUGAUAGUAUUUUCAAGUUGGAUCAAUGACUCUAGGGACCUUUUUACCCACUAUAUCCGGAGGUUAUGUAGUGUUAACCUAAGAAGUUUCAGACUUGUUAGGUUAAUACGAAAGCCCCAAUCAGAUGAGAUCCCUUGGGCGUAUUACUGUCUUACAGUAAUAUUUCCAACCUCGAUUUAUGACUCUGAGAACCUUAUUAGAACCUUGAACUCGAAAGUUGCGUAGUAUGGACCCACAAGGAGUUUUCCUUUUCGGGACAAUACGAAAACCUCACCUAGACGAGACUCUUUUAGGGACGUUAUUGUUGGAUGAGCCUUCGUCAUGGCAAUAACCUUCAUAAAUAGUAAUUGAUGACUCUAGGAACCUACCAACUUUAGUGCCUUCCAAAAGGUUUUUUUUAGUGAUCAAAGAUACCCGCUCUUAUGGCCCGUAUGUUAACUUACUUAUGUUUGGGAUACUUCAAGCAUGCAUAAAAAAAUUAUUCAAAACAUAACAUUCAUAUUAUUUUAUUUCCAUGGAAUUUGAGCAUCAUAAGUUAUAGGAAUUCAAGAAUCAUGGACUCAAGAAAAAAGAAACAUUUACUCUUUCAAGUUUAAGGAUCCCGAUCAAAGCAGCUUGUGUGACUUGGUCUCUCAAAUGUACCCAGUAUACAGAAUCAAUUUUGGAAAAAACUAAGGCAAUUUGCUCAGCACCCUCAACUAGAGAGUGGGUCACACAACAUUAAUUACCUUGGCCCAAUUCUAUGACCAACCCUUAAGGUGUUUCACAUUCCAAGAUUUCCAGCUAGCACCAAUGUUGGAAGAAUUCGAGCGUCUUGUUAGGAUUCCCAUGAAGAACAAGCCAUUGUUUGAAGGGGUGGACGAAUCUUUGCAACCCGAAGCCAUUACUAAAGCGCUUCACAUGGACAAGAGAGAAGUUGAGGCUAACCUAGAGAUAAAGGGGAAUACUAAAGGGUUUUCACUAAGUUUUAUUUUGGAAAGAGUUUAUACCCUAUUGAAAGCAGAAAGUUGGGACGCCUAUUACUCUGCUAUUGCCUUGGCUAUCUAUGGCAUCAUCCUAUUCCGAAAUAUGGAUGGUUUUGCAGACAUGGUUGUUAUUGGCGUCUUCCUCACCGAAAAUCAAGUGCCAACCUUGUUAGUUGAUGUUUACUAUUACAUGAGCCAUAGGUACACCAAAAAGAAGGGAAUGAUUGCCUGUUGUUCUCCUAUCUUAUACUAGUGGUUCCUAGAACAUCUUCCAAAGACAGGUGUUUUUGUGGAACAGACAGACGCUAGUUGGCCUCAGAGGUUGGGAUCAUUAUGAUCCGAAGAUCUUUCCUGGUAUUCCAAGGAAUAUAUUGGCAUGGACAUUAUAUUCAGCUGUGGGGACUUUCCCAAUUUUCCACUCAUUGGAACUCAAGGGUGUGUCAAUUCUAACCUGGUUUUAUCACUAAGAUAGCUUGGGUACCUAAUGGAAGGUCCUCUAGAUGCGAGCUCUUUGGGAGCCUUCUUGUUUCUUGACUUGGGGGUUGAGAAUCCUAGCCUAUUCCAAAGGAUCAGGGAGGCUUGGAAAAAGGACAAUCGAAAAGGAAAAGAUGAUUUAGGGAGAGUUAAUGGGAUUACUAAAGAACCAUAUUUUCAUUGGGUAAAGGAAAGGGUGGAGUGAUCAAAAUUCCAUUCGUCACUCGGAUACCUGUACCUCUUCCUGAGCCUAAACUCACCCAUAUCCCUAUUGAAGAGGUUGAUGAACUAAAGGCCACCAUGGAAAAACUGGAAAGAGAAAAUGAAGAGUUGAAGUUAAAACUCCAACAAGUCACCAAUGAGAAAAACACAAUCAAGUGGAAACUUGAGAGAAAGGACGUGCAACUGCAGGAAAAUGUGGAAAAGUUUAACAAAGAGGAGCAUAAAAGGAAAAAGAUCAAAGUGGGGCUAGAACAAGCUGACCUUAGUCUAGAUACUCUUAAGGGCCAACUGCGGCAAGCCCAGAAAGAAUGUCAAGAAAAUGAGCAUUGGUGGCACCUUGCCGCAAAGGAAAACAAGAC